AUGUCCAAGGGUAAAGAAAUCUGGUCGCGCCUGAGGAUCAUAGAAAUCAUCGACGAGGCUUGCUUUGCGGUGGUCGACGGGAUCGGUCCCCUAGAGAGGCUACUGUUAGAUAAUAACAAUGCUCCUUUGUUGGUAGGAGUCCAAAGGCAUGGUUGGAAGAAGCCACAAGAGGGUUUUGUCAAACUGAACGUGGAUGCAACAUUUGAUGUGGACACGGGCUCAGGGAACACGGGUGCUAUUAUACGUGAUAGAACUCGUAGCUGGAGCAUCCUUACAAUCGAUACACCGUCAACCGCUGAAGCAUGUGCACUUCGUGAUGGCCUGAUUAUUGCAGGAAACGUCGGAUGCAAUAAGAUCCUGGUCGAAUGUGAUUGCAUGGAAGUGGUGGAAGUCAUGCAGAAUGGCGGAAAUUCUCUAGGUGUGGCGGUAGCCAUCUAUGAGAAAUACUUUCCUUUGUCACAAUUUUACUCGUGUAAUCUUUUUGCACUGUCCUAG
rnacentral:rRNA from 1 species